rnacentral:rRNA from 1 species
UACGUAGGGUGCAAGCGUUGUCCGGAAUUAUUGGGCGUAAAGGGCUCGUAGGCGGCGUGUCGCGUCGGGAGUGAAAGCCCGGGGCUUAACCCCGGUUCUGCUUCCGGUACGGGCAUGCUGGAGUGUGGCAGGGGAGACUGGAAUUCCUGGUGUAGCGGUGGAAUGCGCAGAUAUCAGGAGGAACACCGGUGGCGAAGGCGGGUCUCUGGGCCAUUACUGACGCUGAGGAGCGAAAGCGUGGGGAGCGAACAGG